rnacentral:rRNA from 1 species
AACCCCCAAUUUUUUUAAGGUUGACCUCGGAUCAGGUAGGGAUACCCGCUGAACUUAAGCAUAUCAA